rnacentral:rRNA from 1 species
UGGCUGGGGUAAGACCCAGUCUUUUCUUGACUCUUCAAAGGUCUUGGAAUAAGAGGUGGGUAAGGACGGUGCCAGCCGCCGCGGUAAUACCGGCGCCUCAAGUGGUAGUCGAUUUUAUUGGGCCUAAAACGUCCGUAGCCGGUUUGGUACAUUCGUGGGUAAAUCAACCAGCUCAACUGGUUGAAUUCUGCGAGCACGGCCAGACUUGGGACCGGGAGAGGUGUGGGGUACGCUCAGGGUAGGGGUAAAAUCCUGUCAUCCUGAGCGGACCACCUGUUGCGAAGGCGCCACACUAGAACGGAUCCGACGGUCAGGGACGAAGCCUAGGGGCACGAACCGGAUUAAAUACCCGGGUAGUCCUAGGUGUAAACGCUGUGGACUUGGUGUUGGGGAUGAUCCGAUCAUUCUCAGUGCCGAAGCGAAGGUGAUAAGUCCACUGCCUGGGAAGUACGGUCGCAAGGCUGAAACUUAAAG